AUUGAACGCUGGCGGCAGGCUUAACACAUGCAAGUCGAACGAGUGGCGGACGGGUGAGUAAUGUCUGGGAAAGUGCCCGCUGGCGGGGGAUAACUACUGGAAAAGGUAGCUAAUACCGCAUACUAUUGGAUGGGACCAGAUGGGAUUAGCUAGUAGGUGGGGUAAAGGCUCACCUAGGCGACGAUCCCUAGCUGGUCUGAGAGGAUGACCAGCCACACUGGAACUGAGACACGGUCCAGACUCCGACGGGAGGCAGCAGUGGGGAAUUUUGCACAAUGGGCGCAAGCCUGAUGCAGCCAUGCCGCGUGUAUGAAGAAGGCCUUCGGGUUGUAAAGUACUUUCAGCGGGGAGGCGUUACCCGCAGAAGAAGCACCGGCUAACUCCGUGCCAGCAGCCGCGGUAAUUC
rnacentral:rRNA from 1 species